rnacentral:lncRNA from 10 species
CUUGUGUGUCACGGAUACCUCUUACUCAUCACCAGGCAGCUCUUAUUCAGGGCAACCAGGCCCUCCCAAGCAACAUGGUUAAUUGAAUAAGGAUUCUGAACCUUUUGGCUGCAGAUAAACCAAAGUGGUACAUGGCUCAUAACUCAAACAUUUCAUUUUCGGCAGCUGUUAAUUUUCUUGCCCAGGCUAAUUUGGAUUAUUCAAUCAUUUUCUUUUCUUUAAUGAAAAACUGCUUGUAGUUACUGGUGGGGACAAAGAGCUGCAAUUAUGGACCUUGGAAGAGACGGGGUUUCGCUGUGUUGGCCGGGCUGCUCUCCAGCUCCUAACCGCGAGUGACCUGCCAGCCUUGGCCUCCCGAGGUGCCGGGAUUGCAGACGGAGUCUGGUUCACUCAGUGCUCAAUGGUGCCCAGGCUGGAGUGCAGUGGCGUAAUCUCGGCUCGCUACAACCUCCACCUCCCAGCCGCCUGCCUUGGCCUCCCAAAGUGCCGAGCAGGCCGCCACCCCGUCUGGGAAGUGAGGAGCAUCUCUGCCUGGCCGCCCAUCGUCUGGGACGUGAGGAGCCCCUCUGCCUGGCUGCCCAGUCUGGAAAGUGAGGAGCGUCUCUGCCCGGCCGCCAUCCCAUCUAGGAAGUGAGGAGCGCCUCUUCCCGGCCGCCAUCCCAUCUAGGAAGUGAGGAGCGUCUCUGCCUGGCCGCCCAUUGUCUGAGAUGUGGGGAGCGCCUCUGCCCCGUCGCCCCGUCUGGGAUGUGAGGAGCACCUCUACCCGGCCGCGACCCCGUCUGGGAGGUGAGGAGCGUCUCUGCUCGGCCACCCCGUCUGAGAAGUGAGGAGACCCUCCGCCUGGCAACUGCCCCAUCUGAGAAGUGAGGAGCCCCUCCGCCCGGCAGCCACCCCGUCCGGGAAGCGAGGAGCGUCUCCGCCCGGCAGCCACCCUGUCAGGGAGGGAGGUGGGGGUCAGCCCCCGCCAGGCCAGCCGCCCCGUCCGGGAGGGAGGUGGCGGGGUCAGCCCCCCGCCCGGCC